CAGUUCGGAUCGGAGUCUGNAACCCGACUCCGUGAAGCUGGAUUCGCUAGUAAUCGCGCAUCAGCCAUGGCGCGGUGAAUACGCUCCCGGGCCUUGUACACACCGCCCGUCAAGCCAUGGGAGCCGGGGGUGCUUGAAGUGCGUCGCCGCAAGGCGCGCCCUAGAGCAAAACCGGUGACUGGGACUAAGUCGUAACAAGGUAUC
rnacentral:rRNA from 1 species